AUUAUGAGACAAGACCAUUAUGGGGCCAGAUGAAAAAAGAACACAGAGAAUGGACUAGCCCCCACCCCACAUUUUCUGAGAAUGUUCAACUACCAAUAAGUUUAGGACUAUCUUGUUAUAUAGACACAUUAAUUAUAAAAAGUCAACCAUAUACUCACACUCAUCCCAACAUGACAGUGACUGAUCAGACAGUUGGAAUACCCUAGACAUUGUUUCCCCUGUGGCCAUUCCAGCUGUUGCUUCAGCUGCCUAGAUCAUACCGUCCACUCAACCCUCAACUCUAUUGUGUUGUUCUAUUGUUGCUACUGUGGCAUCCUUGGCCGCAGGUCUGCAGUGCUGACUGUAAGUCUAUCUGGCUGGAUGGCAUUGACCUGUGUGGGUGGGGGUUGAUGGUGGGGGCACCGGAGGGGACGUGUCAGUAGUCUAUAUUUACCACCUUGAGUGCAUUGUGUUUGGCCACAUUCUCUUCAUGAAGGACACUUUGUGUCCAGGGCCAGGUUCACCUUCACUGCUUAUACAGGGAGAGGCAGAGUGAGGAGCACGGGAGAGAAAGAAUAGAGAGAGGAACUUUAAAGAGAGGUGAGACAGGGAGAUUAAGAGAACGUGAGACAGCAAUUGAGAGAGACAGAUAGUGAAAGGUGACAGGGGACAGAGAGAGAGAGAGAGAGAGAGAGAGAGAGAGAGAGAGAGAGAGAGAGAGGGAAAGAAAGAAAGAAAGAAAGAAAGAAAGAAAGAAAGAAAGAAAGAAAGAAAGAAAGAGAGAAAGAAAGAAAGAAAGAAGUGUGUCCUUCACGCUCAUCUUGAGCGCCUGUGGAGUAUAACCCUUUCUUCAAAGACAAACGUGUUGGUCAGGGGUUCACCAUGUCAAUCAAGAUGCUGAUGACACGGGUCCAGGAAGAGCAGUCCCACCAGAUGUCCCACAGCAUGGCGCUGGCCUCGCAGAUCAAGAAGAAAACCUUCACCUCUAGGUGCUCUGUUGAGGAUGCUGGGGAGUUCGAGGUGGUUGCCAAGAGUUCUCUGGGUGAAGCUACUACCAUUGCCACUCUGGUGGUCAACUGUAAAUAGCUGCUGAUUCUGACAACUUUCAUGGACAUGGUAUUCCUGCAUGCAGAUUGCUCCUCUGGCUCACAUUCAAAAUGUUAAAUGGGUAACCAUGUCACAUUUCCCCUUUCCUGUUCCAUACUAGUCCAUACUUGUUUUACUCAUGUGAGACAACCUAAAGGGAUGCUCAUUCAUACUUCUAUGGGAUUUAAAUCAUCGUUCAUCCACACCAAUUAUUUCUAAAUCAUCUUGAUCCAGUUUCCAUCUGUAGUGACGUAUUGCACCUAGAUGACUGGGGUUCUAGACCAUAUCAAUAGCCUACACCUUCAAUCUAAACUGAUUAGUGCAUUACAUGCCAUUACGAGUGAUGAAACGCGUGUAGCCUAGCGCUAAGAGCAUUGGGCCAGUAACUGGAAUGUCGCUGGUGUAACUGAGACUUGUGCGCUGAGAGUCGGGAAGCAAGUUCAGGGAGUGAAUACAUUUAAUUAAUAAAUGUAACAUAAUACAAAACACGAACAAAGCACAGACAUGAAACAGAAACAGAAACAAUGACGCCUGGGGAAGGAACCAAAGGGAGUGACAUAUAGGGCAGAUAAUCAAGGAGGUGAUGGAGUCCAGGUGAGCUGCAUAAUGCGCUGAAGCGCCUAACGAUGGUGACAGGUGUGCGCCAUAACGAGCUGCCUGGUGACCUAGAGGCCGGAGAGGGAG
ensembl:lncRNA